CCUACGGGUGGCUGCAGUGGGGAAUAUUGGACAAUGGGCGAAAGCCUGAUCCAGCCAUGCCGCGUGUGUGAAGAAGGCCUUCGGGUUGUAAAGCACUUUCAGUGGGGAAGAAAGCCUUGGGGCUAAUACCCUCGAGGAGGGACAUCACCCACAGAAGAAGCACCGGCUAACUCCGUGCCAGCAGCCGCGGUAAUACGGAGGGUGCGAGCGUUAAUCGGAAUUACUGGGCGUAAAGCGCGCGUAGGCGGUCUGAUAAGCCGGUUGUGAAAGCCCCGGGCUCAACCUGGGAACGGCAUCCGGAACUGUCAGGCUAGAGUGCAGGAGAGGAAGGUAGAAUUCCCGGUGUAGCGGUGAAAUGCGUAGAGAUCGGGAGGAAUACCAGUGGCGAAGGCGGCCUUCUGGACUGACACUGACGCUGAGGUGCGAAAGCGUGGGUAGCAAACAGGAUUAGAUACCCCGGUAGUC
rnacentral:rRNA from 1 species